UGUAUUUUCCACUUCGUAAUAUCAAUAUUUGGAAAUAGGGAAUCUGGAACACAUUGAUAUGGCCAUCUUUGUCUAACUCGUGGGUGGAAUGAUCGAGUUGUAGAGCAUGGCAGAUUAUUGGAAAUCCCAACCACGCAAGUUCUGUGAAUUUUGUCAGUGUUGGUUUGGAGAUAAUAAAGCUAUAGCGCAAUAGCACUGAAAAGAGAGCACUUUUGGGAAGAGUAUUUAACAGUCCUUUCCAAUGUAGAAUAUUCAUACCACAAAUCAUAAAGAUGUGUUGAAUAUGGGGAUUUAGAAUUUCCAAAAUGGAAAUAUUCUUUCUACUUAAUGUUAUUGGAAAACAAAGGAUUAUGGAUCAACUUUGGAACCCAGGACUAUUCAAAUAGGAGACCUGCCACAAAUCAUACCCCUGUUGCUCUGUCUUGUAACAAAAGACAUACUGACUGAGAUGAUAGAUAUAGUGCCUCUGGACUUAUGUGCAAUCAGAUUGUUGAGAUGAGUAUUGGGAAAACUGUCAUCCUUGCACCUGAGAUGGAUUAUAGAAAGCCUGCAGGGAGGAUUUGUGCUUUUGACAUGAAAACCUUAAUAUGAAGUGUUUUUCAAUGGAAACUAUGCUGCAAAGUUAUUGUCAAUAUUCAUGGUCAUCAUAUAGGGCACAACUGGACAUGGAUAUAUGGACUGUAACAACAUGCAUUGCUCCAUAAUCAUUUUAAUGUAAUGCAUUCGACCUCAGUUUUUCAUGAAACUUAUUGUAUUGAUCAUUUUAAAGCUUUUUUUUAUUAAUGUAAUAUAAUUGCAACCAAAAUUGUUUUGAGGAGUAUUGGUAAAUAAGUAAACCAAGUCAUCUUAGGAGG